GGACCUCAGAGCUAGCGACACCUUGUAACCGGUGCGUACGCCACUCGACCACGGAUGUCGUUAUUGUGGUGAUUUUCUGUCCAUCCGUCCGUCACUAAGCUGUAUCGCUGCAAAUUUUGAUAGAUUUUUAACAUUUUAGCGCAAGCUUUUUAAUUUUCUUUUUUCACUAAAUACAUUAUAUAAAAUUUUAACAGUCUAGCUAUUACGGACAGACAUAGUGCCGUUGCCUCGCAGUAAUAGGGUUUCAAUUUAAGUCUUUUUGAAAAAUAACGAGAAAAAUAUCUAUCUAAUUUAUCCACUGAGCACACUGAACAAUAUAGUAAUGACUCACCAUUAAGUAUCCACUUUACAUAUUAAUUUUGCCUGCGCAAAAUCCUUUUUUAAAAGCACUCUUCCAUCCCACCACGAUACACCAUUUCUUAAAAAGAAGGAUCUAUACAACACAAACCUCCUUCUUAAGUAGAAUCUCUGAUUUCACUUUCCAAACAUGACACCUUUCUAUCCAUAUCACGUUCCUGCAAUGGUGAUCCGCGGCCAUUUUAUAAGAGAUCCGAGCCUAUAACGUCUAAUGACAAUGAUUACUAUCAUUCGAGGCACAUUCAUACGACAAAUCUAGCUCGCAAAUGGUUUUAAAGGCACUUAUUCUGUUAUUGGCAAAUCAAGCUGAAAGAAACUCUAUUUGGUAUUUAAAUAGGGUAUAAAAGAGAAAAUCUAUGAAAGUGAUGUGGAAACUUUCUUUUCUUUGCUAAUAUAAACACGGAAUUACGUAUUUAUAUUAACAUCUAAGUUAGUAAGUGCACGCGUAUCUGUGUCACCAUACUUAUCAAUAUUAUUCACUAUCGUAAGAUUUUUUUUUAAUUAGUUGUCGACAAAACAAGUGUGUACUCAAAAUUAUAACAACAGCAACUUAAAAAAAAAACAAAAUAAAGCUUUCUUUUUUAUUGGUAUCGGUUUGAAUGGCGCCCAACAUGGUUUAAAUCCAGAGAUCAUAUUAUAAAAAGCUAUAAAUGCCGUAAAUACGUAAUAAAAUACGUAACAUUACAAACUAAAAAUUACCAAUCAUAAUCAAUUACCGUGCAUGUAACUACCCAAUAGUCCAACUACAUCAAACAGGGUUAGGUUUUUUCAAACAUUAAUACCCCCGCAAUUAAAAAGAAUAGAACAGGCAGAGUCAAGUUCAGUUUAUGAGUAUCAGAAUAAGCACCAAUGUCUUAAUAAAAAGAAAAUUGCAGUUCUAGAAAUAAAAAGAAGACGUAAAGGUUUUACCAUCGAACGUCUGCUUUGAUGACGUCAGAAGAUAUUACUGCCGUUAUUGUGGGAGGAACUAGUCGUUAAGUGGGACUACUAGCAUAUACCCAUUCUAGAUUAAUAUAGGGUAAGUCCAGGAUACAUGCCUCAGUGGGAUAGAUGACUUGAUUUUUAUUUCACUAUGUUAGGAGCACUGUGAGAGUUAAAUUUCUCUAUAAGUAACGAGUCCUCCCCCCACCAACCUCAGUGCCAGGCAGACUGUGGACAGGAGCGCACGCGUUUCGUCCGUGUGAGUAAAAAUCUUCCGCGGCGAGACGACAAAAGGCGCCAAAAUAAGAUUCGAGAGCAAAAUGCCUCGUAAAUAUAAAAGAAAACCGGGUUUUAUCCCUCGCGCUGUUACCUGGACCGAAGAAAGUAUGCUAGCAGCGUUUGAAGAGAUGAAAAAGGGAGACAAGGGUGUAAAUCAGAUUUCUAAAAUUUAUGGCAUACCAUCUAGAACAUUAAGACGAACAUUUCUUAAAAAUGACCAACAAAAAUUGACAUUAGGUAAACACCCUGUGCUAGGGUUUGAUAACGAAAAUCUCCCCCUAUCUUAAGAAUAAUUUAGUCUGAUACCAAA